rnacentral:lncRNA from 1 species
CAUGUGUGUGUGUGUAAAACCCUCAAGAAGUUGCUAAGAAUGAAGACACAAUGUCCUUUGGUCACAGGAUUCAGAGGCUCUUUGGAUCGGAUUUGAAAGCCUUUCCCCUGAGGACUAGCAUUCAAAGAACUGUAAGGUACUACGCAAGUUUCCAAGAAAGGGAGGCAACCAAUGGUCAUACCCAGCUGUGAUGUCUAUGAUCCAUAACAGCCCCAGCAUGACAAGGCUUGGAUUCCUUACUUUCUGGAUCAAUUACAAUGCUCUGAGCAGCAGGGCUCGAAGGGCUCCAGUUUGCUGUUUGGAGGUUUGGAGACUUGUCAGCCUAAUUCCAAUCCAUUUAAUGAUCAGAGUAAUCUGGGAGCCAUGUGUGUACCUAUAUCCCAGCUAUUUGAAUAGCCGAGGCAGCAGGAUUGCUUGGGUCCAGGGAGUUAAAGAUAACCUGGAC